GCUGGGCGCGGUGGUGCACACCUGUGGUCCCAGCUACUCAGGAGGCUGAGGUGGGAGGAUUGCUUGUGCCCAGGAGGUCAAGGCUGCAGUGAGCCAUGAUUGUGCCACUGCACUCCAGCCUGGGCAACAGAGCAAGACCCUGCCUCAA
rnacentral:SRP_RNA from 1 species